rnacentral:lncRNA from 1 species
AAAACGGAGUAGAAAUAAGAUCUCUCAAAAGAACCAAAACUUAAUUAUAUCCGAAGCGCCGAACUCUAUGGCUGCGUUUGGUUCGGGUAUAAGUAAGAACUGCUAGUUCCAGGGAUAGGUACAAGUUCAGGUAUAAGCAGGAACUAAACCAAUUUUACGUUUGGAUGAAAAUUGGGUUGUUCCUAGGAAUAAGGUAAAUAGUGUUUGGAUGGUUAGAUUGGAACAAGAGAAAUGAGAGUUAUAAUUUGAAAUUAAAAUUAUAUUAUGUAAUUAAUUAACAUCAAAAUAUUAUUUAAUAAUUAUUAGUAAUUAAUUAUAAAUAAUAAAUUAAUAAUAUCGAUUAUUUAUUUAAUAAUAAUAAUAAUUAUUAUUAAUAAUUAUUAAUAAAUAAUAAUAAUUAUUAAGUAUUCUUAUUAAUUAAUUAUAAAUAAUAAAUUAAUAAUAAUAUUGAUUAUCUAAUUAUUAAUAAUAAUUAAUAUUAAUAUUUAUUAAUAAAUAAUAAUAAUUAUUAUUAAUUAAUUAUAAAUAAUAAAUUAAUAAUAAUAUCGAUUAUCAUUAAGAAUAAUAAUUAUUAAUAAAUAAUAAUAAAUAUUAAAUUAAUAAUAAUAAUUAUCUAAUUAUUAAUAAUUAAUUAUAAAUAAUAAAUAAAUUAAUUAUUUAAUUAUUAAAGCAAUAAAUAAUGAUUUAAAUAUAUUAAUUAGAUUAAUUAAUAAUUUACUGUCAUUAAAAUUAAAUUUAGAUUUUAAUAAAUCUUGUUCUCAUCAAGGAACAAGCUAGUUUCAGAAAACGGGUGGAACAACAGUUCCAGCCUUAUACCAGCUUGUUCCAGAAUCUCGAAAACUGCUGUUUCUGAAAACCAAACAUACCGUUUGAAAACAAAAGGAAGAAUAAGAGCUUAUUUUCCCCCUUGUUCCCGAACCAAAUGCUACCUAUGUGCCUC